rnacentral:rRNA from 1 species
CUUCCCGCGGUUAGACGGAAAGCCCCCGUGCACCUUUACUACAGCUUUGCAGUGGUAUCAGGAUGUGAAUGUGCAGAAUAGGUGGGAGGCUUUGAAGCCAUGGCGCCAGCCAUGGUGGAGCCACCUUUGAGAUACCACCCUUUUGCUUCCUGAUAUCUAACCGAGGUCCGUUAUCCGGAUCCGGGACCCUGCAUGGCGGGUAGUUUGACUGGGGCG